GAUGAACGCUGGCGGCGUGCCUAAUACAUGCAAGUAGAACGCUGAAGGAAGGAGCUUGCUCUUUCCGGAUGAGUUGCGAACGGGUGAGUAACGCGUAGGUAACCUGCCUGUUAGCGGGGGAUAACUAUUGGAAACGAUAGCUAAUACCGCAUAACAGUAGAUGUUGCAUGAUAUCUACUUAAAAGGUGCAAUUGCACCACUACCAGAUGGACCUGCGUUGUAUUAGCUAGUUGGUGAGGUAACGGCUCACCAAGGCGACGAUACAUAGCCGACCUGAGAGGGUGAUCGGCCAAACUGGGACUGAGAAACGGCCCAGACUCCUAAGGGAGGCAGCAGUAGGGAAACUUCGGCAAUGGACGGAAGUCUGACCGAGCAACGCCGCGUGAGGGAAGAAGGGUUUCGGAUCGUAAAGCUCUGUUGUAAGAGAAGAACGAGUGUGAGAGUGGAAAGUUCACGCUGUGACGGUAUCUUACCAGAAAGGGACGGCUAACUACGUG
rnacentral:rRNA from 1 species